AUUCCAAUCAUAUUUAUGUGUCCAUGAUUUAUCCUAAAAAUUAACAAAGAUAAUUUUUAUAUAUUAUUAAAGUGUUAAGAAUUUGAAACAUACAAUAAUUAGUGAUUAAUUUUUAAAUACUCUCGAUCAAAGGAUCAUCACGAAAGAUAAUGAUCAAUCCAUUAGAGAUCGGUGUAUGGUUCACCUCUCUUGUUGACAGAUGAGUCUUGAACUAUAGUGUAAGGACACUGAGGUGAAGGUGCGG
rnacentral:lncRNA from 1 species